AUUGAACGCUGGCGGCAUGCCUUACACAUGCAAGUCGAACGGCAGCGCGGACUUCGGUCUGGCGGCGAGUGGCGAACGGGUGAGUAAUACAUCGGAACGUACCCUGUUGUGGGGGAUAACUAGUCGAAAGAUUAGCUAAUACCGCAUACGACCUGAGGGUGAAAGUGGGGGACCGGAAACGGCCUCAUGCAGCAGGAGCGGCCGAUGUCUGAUUAGCUAGUUGGUGGGGUAAAGGCCCACCAAGGCGACGAUCAGUAGCUGGUCUGGGAGGACGAUCAGCCACACUGGGACUGAGACACGGCCCAGACUCCUACGGGAGGCAGCAGUGGGGAAUUUUGGACAAUGGGGGCAACCCUGAUCCAGCAAUGCCGCGUGUGUGAAGAAGGCCUUCGGGUUGUAAAGCACUUUUGUCCGGAAAGAAAUCGCGCUGGUUAAUACCUGGCGUGGAUGACGGUACCGGAAGAAUAAGCACCGGCUAACUACGUG
rnacentral:rRNA from 1 species